AGGACGAACGCUGGCGGCGUGCUUAACACAUGCAAGUCGAGCGGAAAGGCCCUUCGGGGUACUCGAGCGGCGAACGGGUGAGUAACACGUGAGUAAUCUGCCCCUAGCUCUGGGAUAGCUCCGGGAAACCGGGAUUAAUACCAGAUACGACCACUUUAGACAUCUUCUGUGGUGGAAAGAACUUCGGCUAGGGAUGAACUCGCGGCCUAUCAGCUUGUUGGUGAGGUAACGGCUCACCAAGGCGACGACGGGUAGCCGGCCCUGAGAGGGCGACCGGCCACACUGGGACUGAGACACGGCCCAGACUCCUACGGGAGGCAGCAGUGGGGAAUAUUGCGCAAUGGGCGAAAAGCCUGACGCAGCGACGCCGCGUGGGGGAUGAAGGCCUUCGGUUGUAACCCUUUCAGCAGGACGAAGCGAAAGUGACGGUACCUGCAGAAGAAGCGCCGGCUAACUACGUGCCAGCAGCCGC
rnacentral:rRNA from 1 species